rnacentral:rRNA from 1 species
GUACACUCCUACGGGAGGCAGCAGUGGGGAAUAUUGCACAAUGGGCGCAAGCCUGAUGCAGCCAUGCCGCGUGUAUGAAGAAGGCCUUCGGGUUGUAAAGUACUUUCAGCGGGGAGGAAGGCAAUACGGUUAAUAACCGUGUUGAUUGACGUUACCCGCAGAAGAAGCACCGGCUAACUCCGUGCCAGCAGCCGCGGUAAUACGGAGGGUGCAAGCGUUAAUCGGAAUUACUGGGCGUAAAGCGCACGCAGGCGGUCUGUCAAGUCGGAUGUGAAAUCCCCGGGCUCAACCCGGGAACUGCAUUCGAAACUGGCAGGCUUGAGUCUUGUAGAGGGGGGUAGAAUUCCAGGUGUAGCGGUGAAAUGCGUAGAGAUCUGGAGGAAUACCGGUGGCGAAGGCGGCCCCCUGGACAAAGACUGACGCUCAGGUGCGAAAGCGUGGGGAGCAAACAGGAUUAGAAACCCCGGUAGUCCCAUGAU